GUUUCUACAAAAAUAACAGCUGCUGACAGCUGAGUUGGUGUUUACUUGAAGCUAAUAAUUUAUUGUUUUAUUUUAAAAUAUAUUUAUAAUAAAUCAGAUAAAUUAAUAUGAAAAAAUAUGCAAAACAGACGCGCAAUAUGAACAAACAAGUCACUGUUUGGGGGAGUAGGUGAACAAAGCACUCUUUGUGAGAAUGAACAAACAAGUCUUAGCCUUAUAUUACAUUGAAAUUCACUGAAUAUUAUCGCAACAGUUUGAAAACCUCUAAACAAGGUCGCAAUAGAAAACCUCUAAAUAAGGUCGAAAAAUGAUAAAAACAUUGUUUUUCUUCUUAUUAAUGGUUGCCAUAACUACAAUGGCUUCAGCUUGCUCAGACUAUUCACAACAAUGGUGUCAAGCAAAUCAAGCAUUGUGCACGCAGCCCUCGUUGAUUGCUUUCAUGAGUCAAUAUUGUGAACAAACAUGCAACUACUGUAAUUAAGUUUACCAUUUAAACUUUUAUCUUGAAAUUUUGUUUUGAAAAUGGUCGAAUUUAAGCAAACAUU